rnacentral:snRNA from 1 species
GGAUGUGAGGGCGAUCUGGCUGCGACAUCUGUCACCCCAUUGAUCGCCAGGGUUGAUUCGGCUGAUCUGGCUGGCUAGGCGGGUGUCCCCUUCCUCCCUCACCGCUCCAUGUGCGUCCUCCCAAGCUGCGCGCUCCGUCGAAGAGGACGACCAUCCCCGAUAGAGGAAGACCGUUCUUCGGUCAAGGGUAUACGAGUAGCUGCGCUCCCCUGCUAGAACCUCCAAACAAGCUCUCAAGAGUAGGAAGUAUCUUGGCCCAUAGAGGUAACCCCAAAUGCAUGGUUCCCAAUUCUUGAUGGGUGGGAGCUUCCU